GGACGACACUCUCAUUGGCUGCGGGUCGUCAGUCUGUAGGGGCGGGCCUUUUGGAGGAGACCGGAAGUGGAGCGAAUGAGAGGUGACCAGAAAUGGAAAGAAAAGUAAGCAGAAUUUGUUUUGCUUCUGAACCAGAUAUAAUUCAUUUUCUACAAAUUGCUUGGGAGAGAACGCUAGCAUCUGGUUUUGUUAUUACACUUACUGAUGGUCAGUCAGCAUGGACCGGAACAGUUUCCGAAUCAGAGAUUUCUCAAGAAGCUGAUGACAUGGCAAUGGAAAAAGAGAAAUAUGUUGAUGAACUGAGGAAAGUAUUGAUAUCAGGAGGAGGACCAGCUGAUGCGUACAAGUUUGAUUUUUCUAAAGAGUCUUGUCAUUUCUCCUUUGAGAAAAACCUGAAAGAUGUUUCAUUUAGACUUGGUUCCUUCAAUCUAGAGAAAGUUGCAAGUCCAGCUGAGGUCAUUAGGAAACUUAUUUGUGAUUGCCUGGACACCAUUGCGGAAAACCAAGCCAAAAAUGAGCACCUGCAGAAGGAAAAUGAAAGGCUUCUGAGAGAUUGGAAUGAUAUUCAAGGACGAUUUGAAAAAUGUGUGAGUGCUAAGGAAGCUUUGGAGACUGAUCUUUAUAAGCGGUUUAUUCUAGUGCUGAAUGAGAAGAAAGCAAAGAUCAGAAGCUUGCAUAAAUUGUUAAAUGAAGGUCAAGAACCAGAAAGGAACAUUGAGCGUGAAAGGGAAGCCACAACAUGUUCUGAAAUGACCGCUGAUAGAGAUGCAGUCUACGAUGAAAGUACUGAUGAAGAAAGUGAGAACCUGCCUGAUCCCUGUGUGUUAGCUCCAGCUACUUCUAGAGAUGAUUCCAUCAUUUCAAGUCCUGAUGUCACUGAUAUUGCACCAAGUAGAAAGAGGAGGCAGCGGAUGCAAAAAAAUCUUGGAACAGAACCUAAAAUGGCUUCUCAGGUGACUCAGCCUCAAGAAAAGGAAAAACCACCUCCGAGGCAGAUGUCACCUCAUAUUUACAGGCUUGAUCCUCCACAACCUGAGAAGUUGAAAAAGGAGCACAGCUCAACUGAAAACAUGUCUUUAGAAACUCUAAGAAACAGUAGUUCAGAAGACCUCUUUGAUGAGAUUUAACUGUCUCAAAAGGUACUUUGAUGUUCACUAGACUAUGUUUUCUAUUCAUUUUUUUAAACUAAGAAAGCAAGAUUUCAACUCAGCAGCAGCUAUUACUGUACCCUACAAUUUAAUUACAUACACACUGAAUCGAAACCAUUGUGCAAAAUGGAUUAUGCAUGUAUAUGAAGAUAUGAUUUGAUGACAGUGGUACAUUAUUCUAAACUAUUCAUUCCCAUGCCUAUAAUUACAUAAAAUCUCAGACUUUGUAUUGCAAAGGACACAUUUAUCAUAUUCAGUUCACACAUAUUAUAUGUGGUAGCUGUCUAACAUCCUGUCUAGGAAGAUUUUGGAAAAAGGACAAAGAAAAUGUCUACAGUUCUUUUUUGAAUAGUCAUGUUCUGAACAAUGAUGCUUGAACAUUUUAAUUUGUGAAAUGAUGUAUAAAAUUUAUUUUUAGUUCAUACACAAGCAACCUCAAAAUCUGAUGAUAAAAUUUUUGAUACAUUGAGGAUUUAUGUUCCUAAUAAAAUAUGUUAUUUAGCUUACCUUUUUCCUUUAUUAUAGUAGCAGACUUUAUAAGGUGCUUAUUGAUAUAAAUGUAACCCCUUUUUGUAUCAAAAACAUGUUUUUUCAGGAACCCUCUUGCACUGUUGGUGGGAAUGCAAACUGGUGCAGCCUCUCUGGAAAACAGUGUGGAGGUUCCUCAAAAAAUUAAAAAUAGAUCUAACCUAUGACCCAGCAGUAGCACCGCUAGGAAUUUACCCAAGGGACACAGGAGUGCUGUGGGUACAAGUGCAUAGGGGCACUUGUACCCCAGUGUUUAUAGCAGCACUUUUAACAGUAGCCAAAUUAUGGAAAGAGCCUAAAUGUCCAUUGACUGAUGAAUGGAUAAAGAAGUUGUGGUUUAUAUAUACAAUGGAAUACUACUUGGCAAUGAGAAAGAAUGAAAUAUGGCCUUUUUGUAGCAAUGUGGGUGGAACUGGAGAGUAUUAUGCUAAGCGAAAUAAGCCAUACAGAGAAAGACAGAUACUAUAUCUUUUCAUUAUUAUGUGGAUCCUGAGAAACUUAACAGAAGACCAUGGGGGAAGGAAAGGGGGAAAAAAAAGUUAGGGAGGGAGGAAAACCAUAAGAGACUCUUAAAAACUGAGAACAAACUGAGGGUUGAUGGGGGGUGGGGGAGAGGGGAAAGUGGGUGAUAGACAUUGAGGAGGGCACCUAUUGGGAUGAGCACUGGGUGUUGUAUGGAAACCAAUUUGACAAUAAAUUUCAUAUUUAAAAAAAACAUGUUCUUUUCAGAGAUUGUUGAUAAAAGACUUCUUACACAUUAAGGACCCUCUUUGAAAAUAAUGACCAUGUCAUAUUUACUUAUCAAUCCUCAAUAACAUCUAGCACAAUUUUUUAAAAACAUAGUUACUGUUUCUACCUCCUACCCUCUCAUUCUGUCUUCACUUCUCUCCAGUUGAACAUCCCUUUUCUCCAUGGUUUCAAAGUUAACAGCGACCAUCAUGUUGAUAAAUCAACAGUUGGUCCAUUCUCAGUCCUCCUCUUACUAAGCCUCUCAGCUACACACCUGACAUAGUCGGUCACUUCUCAGUAAACAUUUUCUUCACUUGACUUUUGCAUUAACAUAUGUUGUUUGUUUUCUCUUCCUUUUUGUACACGGAGGCUCUUUGGCCCAGAGUUAAGUGUUUUAGUGCCUCAGGUUUAUUCUUCAGCCUUCUUCUUUUCACUACCUACCUUGUCUAUCUAGUAUUUCUGUGAUUUUAAAUACCAUUUGCAUGCUAAUAUCUCCAAAAUUAGAAUAGUUCUGUUUCCACAGUCAUAUAUGUGUAGAGUCAGUUGACCUUUGAACAGUGCUAGGGUUGGGGAACUGGUGCCCUUUGUAGUCAAAAAUCUUCGUAUAAUUUUUGACUCUCCAAGAACUUAACGACUAAGAGACUCCUAUUGACUAGAAGGCUUACUGAAAAUAUAAAUAGUCAAUACUUAUUUUGCAUUUAUAUGUAUUAUAUAUUUUAUUCUCACAAUAAAGUAAGCGAGUGAAAAGAAAAUGUUACUAAGAAAUCAUAGGGAAGAGACAAUACAUUUAUAGUACUGUACGAUAAAAAAUGUGUGUAUAAGUGGACCUGCAUGGUUCACACACCUGUUGUUCAAGGGUCAGCUGUAUAAUUUAUCAUUAAUUUUUUGCAAAAGGAGGUUCUUAAAAAUCUGAGUACAUCUACCUGCUUUGGAUGAUUAUUUGGAUGUUUAAGCACAUCUAAAGCAGAGGUCUGAUUACAUCCCGAUCAUCUUUUUUCUCCAUUCUUCCCCACCCAACAAAUUACUGUGACACCUGGUUGCUUCAAGCUGAAAACCCAGGAAUCCUGAUCAGUACCUUUGUUUCGCUCUUCUCCCACAUCCUGUUAUUUUUACCUCCAAAAAUACAGCUUGAUUCUAUCUACUUCUCUCUUACUAUCUACUACAUCUGCCCCCUGACUGGUCUCCCUGCCAAUCUCCUAUUGUACAGUGCACACAAACUGAAUUUUUUAAGUUUUAGGAAAGAGCAUUUCCCUGCCUGGAUUGAAACCCUCCAAUAGUAAGCCACUGCUCUUUGGAUAAAGUUCACACUCCGUACCCCAGCUUACAAGAUUUGAUAUGAUCUGGCCCCUACCUAUCUCUACCCUUGGUUUCCUGCUCUUUUCUCUUUGCUUGCCUUGCUCCUUACUGUCCCUCAAGUAGGUCAGAUCUCAGAACCAUUGUAUUGGUCAGAAUGUUCAUCUUCAUAUGGUUAGUUUCUUCUCAUCUUUCAGGUCUAGAAUCAAAUGUCACCUCCUCAGAGGUCCUUUCCCUGAAAUGCCUUUCUAAAGAUGUGCAUACUCCCAGUCACUGUCCCAUUGGAAUAUUUUUUCACUGUGCAUAUCACCACACAGAAUUAUUUUUUUCAUCUCUCUCUCUCUGUCUGCCUGUCUCCCAAUAGAAAGUUAGCCCCAUCAUAGCAGAGGCAUGGCCAUCUGUUUUAUCUAUCUUCCAGUUCGUACAACAGGGCUAGAUUCACAAAGGCUUACUAAGCAUUUGUUGAAUGAAUAAAUGCAUGUCUUCCACAAAACAGACACUCAAAUGUUUCUUUAAGUUAUUAAACUGUUUUGAAAGAAACUUAGGAAAAGGUUGAAACUUAGUUGAUUUGACACAGAGAAAUAAUUGUUUAGAAAGCUUCAAGUACCUUUUGUGCUUAAUUAUAAAUAAUAUAUACAUAUAUAUUUUGCGUGUAGGCUUGACUACAGAGAGAGAAUCAGAAAGAAAUUACACUUUAUUGUUUAUAUCAGAACAAGAUUCUAUUCAGUCAAUGGAACAACAAAAUACUUUAAAAAGAAAUUUACCACAUUUUUAUUUCCAUAGUGGCAUCCAUUUAAGAAGGAAAACUUUAAAAUAAAUGUAGAUAUAAAUAUGUGAAAUAUGAAAAUAUAGGGGUGCCUGAGAGGCUCAGUCACUUGAGCAGCCAACUCUUGAUUUCAGCUCAGGUCUCAAUCCCAGGGUAGUGGGAUCAAGCCCCACAUCGGGCUUUAUGCUCAGUGUAGAACCGGCUUAAGAUUCAUAUUCUCUCUCUCUCCCACUCCCACACCCUGCCUCCCUCCCUCCUUCCCCCUCUUCCCUUCAGCCUCUCUCCCCUACUCAUGCUCUCUCUCUCUCUCAAAUUCAAUAAAUAAAUACACACAUACAUGCAAUAAACAUAUAAUUAUAAAGUCUAAAAUUCUGCUCAGUUACAUAGAAACUUCACUAUACUAUGAAUCUCAGAUAAUCUAAGAUUUGCCUUGGACCUUUCCAAGGGGAUUUUGUACAUAAAGUACUAGAAUCUCAAAAUAAUGUUAUCUCUUCUGAAUAACCAAAAUUAAUCUACAAUUAUUGUGUGUGUGUAUACUUACAUAUAAAGGUUUUUUUUAAGUGAAAGAGAAGAAGAAAAACAGAAUUUUGGCUAUUAACCCACUAGUGGUGAGAGAGGGAUGAUGUCCAGAAAAUGUUUCCUAAGUAAUUGUAACAGCAGAAUCUAUAAAGCUCAUAUUUACAAGAUUUUGAUUAUAUUUUUCCAGAGCAGUGUAUCUUUUCCACCAUUGUUUUGUGUCAGAUUGAUUCAGCUGGUUAGAACAAAGCAUAAGUAGUACAUAGUUAUGGUUCCCUCUUUUAUAUUGAGCAUGGAGAAUUUGAAGGGCUAGUUUUACAUUUUCUGCUCCGCGUAGACAGAUAUCUAUAGAUUUGGUAUCAAGAUGUGCAGCUCUAGUCAUUCUAUGCCAUGAUUUUUCCUCACAUUUUUCCAUUGUUUAUAUUCAAAAACAGAUUGUUACAGAAAAACUCUGAAAUUGAAGGCACAAGAAUUAAGUUAUAAUGCAGCAUGAAUUUUGUUUGGUUUUUUACUUUUUUGACCUUUGUUAUAAAACAAGGUGACAAUUUUUUUUUUCAGCUUAAAAUUUAUAAUUCUUGGCCCUGGGAUCAGAUGGUAUGACUUAGGCCUCAGUAGGGAAGUUCAUGGAAGAAAAAGUCCCAUCUCAGGAAGAGAUGUCUUUAUUAUGUAGUUUUAAAAGGUCAGGAAACUACUUUAGACAAGUUUUUCUUAAUGGCAUAUAACUCAAAUUUAUAAAAUACUAGACCCUGUGUUUUGGAGCCAAACAGCUGUUUAUUGGGUAAAUUUGACUCAAUAAAUGUUUAUAAAGGAUCCGUUAUGCACAAAAAAAAAAAAAAAAAAAAAAAAAAAAAAAAAAAAAAAAAAAAAAAACAGAACUGGGCCAUGUGGAGAAUUUACAGAUAAUUCCAUCCAUUCACCAAAUAUCUGUUAAGCAUUUGUGUCAGUCUCUGUUUUGGGCACUAGAUGCAGCAGUGAAUAAUAUGUGUGGUUUGUUGCUGUGGAACUUAUAUUCUAGUAAGUGAAAUUUGGGCCUGCUCUCAAAGAGUGAAGUAUAUGGAAGGGAGUUGACAUUGGGGCCCAAAAUCAGUAUCUGAUAAACUAUCAUAUCAAGGAGUGGUAGCGUAAGUGUCAUAAAGAAAAGAACAAAAAGUUUAUGGGUGAAGAUCCACAGAAAAUUUAAAAAAAAAUCCUAUUGGGAGGCUAAGAGAAAUCAGUAGGGUUGAGGAACGUAUGCUGUGAAUGAAACUGUAUGCCGGAUCAGAGGAGAGUGCAGAAGGUCCUGGGGGUAGGGGCUUGGGGUUACUGUUCAAGUUUGUAAUUGUGAAUCAUCAGAAUGAAGGAAACAAGUUAGAAGGCUUUCCAGGAGGAAUGUUGGCCAGGUGGAUUUAGAAUAUGAAGCUAAGUUUUGUAAUAAAGAUAUAACAAGAAUUGAGCUCCACAUUUCAGACUGGCACUUCCACGGGAAGAUAUAUACUGCCAGAAAUCUUCAGGUCGUGGGGCCCUUCUUGGACAUCUGGGAUUGAGAAAGGAGAACGAGUCAGUGGGUCCCUUGUCAUAUACUUUGCAGAAGCAGCCAACCCUCAUCCCUUUGUGUCUCUCAGUCUUACACUUAGUAUAAUUUAUAGAAUCCAUUUUUAAUAAAAUAAAAUUAAAUAGGUGACCUCGAAAUUCAUGAAAGACCUCAUGAAUUUACCUAUACAUCAGCAAAUUAAAAAAAAAAUAAGUAGUUAACACAUUUGGUAAGGGAGAAUGAUAGUCACUAUUUAUCCAUUUCUACCUAUUGUUUGAAUUAAAAAUUUUCACUGGUGUUCUGAAAACUCCUGGUGAAUGCUUUUCAGGAGGGCAGAUUUCAUUUGCAAGUGUUCUGUGAGCAAGCCUGCUGUGAUUUUCUCCAUAUAUUAAUAACUGGGAAAGGAUACUUUGACACAUACAUGCCAAGAACUUCAUGGUUGCUUCCUAACUGACCAUCCGUCUCCUGUCCUAAUUUCCACCUCUCUGAUCUACUCACCCAAAAACACACUCACCAGUGUACUUUGUACUUACUUUCUUCCUUUCAGUUAUCCACAUGUCAUGUUAUUCACCAACUGUUAUUACUACUUUCUGAUUUUCCUCUGUAAUAUGAAUUUUGUUGUUUAUAUGUUGAUUUUUCUUCCAUCUUUUGGAGGUCCUUUGUCCUAAACUCUCAUCUCAAAAUCUCACAGAGAACUGUAUUUUCUCAGUGAGGGUCUCUUUGUCCCUAAAAGUUCUUGAUUCUUCAGGAAAGGAGAGAGUGAUUGGAGCCUACACCUAUCUUGAUAGUGGAUGGUCUUAUCAAGGGCAGGAGCAAUUUUUGUGGCUACUGUUCCAGUAAGUGGAAUAUAGGCUAGACCUGAACUACUUACUUUUGGUUUAAAGACAGUCUCCAGCUUAAUUACAAUCUUAGAAAUAACACAGCCAGUCAACUAUAUGUAGGUGGAUUAGAUAAUUUUUUUGGAACCUGCUCAUACAAGACCCUUCUAGGAAUCUGUCAUACUCUGCAUUCCUCUGAAGGGCUUGCAUACAAGCAAUUUAUUUGGGAAUAUGGUGCUAGGGAGCAAGAGUGCUAGACUGGAAGCACUUAGAAGGAAAGGAGGAAAAACGAGUGCAAGGAUGCCUUAUCAAGGCAGCCCGCCCUGUGGGUGAUAUGCUCCACCCUACCAGGAUGUUCUGAGGUACCUUCUGAAAGUCAUCUCAGAACAAUACAUCUGGGGACAAAAGGGAGAAGCAUUUAUCCAUGGGUUGCUGUUUCCAUUGGUCAAGAGUGGCCUGGAAGCAUUGUUCCCACAUAUCUCACUUCGCCCCUGUUUAGUACGUAGCGGGGUCCCUGCAGGUGACCAAAGCUGCAGUCUCAGAGAAGCCCUGGACAGGAAACAAGAGGAGCACAGGUACCAAUUUUACGUGCUUGAAGUAGAGCAAAGCCUGCCUGGAACUGAUUGCCAAAGAAAUGGCUACUGUUGAGGAUUUUGAGGUGGUAUACAAGGGAUGUCCAAUAUAGAAUCCAUGUUUUAUGCACAUGCCCCUGCCUCACGUCCCCACCCUAGCCAUAGCUGAUUAGGCCAGGGAAAGAAAUGUGACUCUCACUGCGUGGCUGAACUUGAGUUCCCUGAAAAAGCCAAUGUGUAAGUUGGCACAGAGACUGACUGGAAGAAAGAGAAGGCUGCAGAGCACAAUGGAGCAGAGGUGCCCUGUGACCCUUGAGACUGAUUGGGAGAGUAGCCAGUGCCUGGAGUAGAUGCGGGUCAUUCUGUAGUUCAGAGCCUGUUUCAGUGCAGACAUAUGUCUAAACUUCACUGCUCCCUUUUCUGAGGACUUACCAGUGAAAUGGUUCCAUAAAGCAAAGAAGAAAGUACCCAAUUAAUAAGGAAAUCAAAUAUAUUCUCCAUUGGACAUUUUAAUCAAUUUUUACUAUCUUCAGUUAACAAGUUGUCACUAGUUAACUCUACCACUAAUAGAACAUUUCAGGAGAGGUUUCAUCUAGAUUGGUAUAGGCAAACUUGAAUAAGAGGGGAAAGUAAAACCACUUUUAUAAUUAAAAUUUACAUAAUUUUUAUAAUAAAACUUUAAAAUUCAUUAAAAUGCCAUUAUAUAUAGCUAAGAUCUUACCUACAUUAGAUGUGUCUUUAAAGUAUUGAUGGAUCUGAAUGGUAGUAUGAAAUGUCUAUGAUCUUUGGCAACAUAGGAUAGUACUAUAAAUUUUACUUAGGAAUGAAUUUUAAGUGUAAGGUGUCACAAAGUUGCCAUCAUUGGUAGAUUAAUACCUAUGCUAAUCCUUUAAAGAAUACAAAGCAAUAUAUUUUUUCUUGAUUUUACCAAAUAGUAAAAGGAACUCUAUCAAAUUGUAGUGUUUUUAUGUGAUGACAAGGGUUCCCUCUCUCUCUCUCUCUCUGCUCUCUCAAUUAUGAUCUGAUUGAAAACUUUGUGAGAGGGGUACCUGGGUGGCUCAGUUGGUUAAGUGUCCCACUUUUUGUCUCAGCUCAGGUCAUGAUCUCACAGUUCGUGAGUUCAAGCCCAACAUGGGGCUCUGUGCUGACAGCGUGGAACCUGCUUGGAAUUGUCUCUCCCUCUCUUUCUGCCCCUACCCCACUUGUGCUCGCUCUCUCUUUCUCUCUCUCUCUCUCAAAAUAAUACAUAAACUUAAAAAAAAAAACCUUACAAAAAGAAAGAAAGAAGACUUUGUGAAACUUUUGGAUCCCUAUUAGGACAAGAUGCUGGUAGUGAUGAUGGGAGAAAUAUGCUUUGUCAUUGUGCUUUGCAAACAUUUAGGGAGUUUAUCUGAAAUAUUCCAGAGCCCCUGUUGAGUAAUAUUGGAAACAAUCUUGCUUUGCUCCUUUGAGAGAUAUAAUAUAGUAUAUUUCUCUCAAGAACUAUGUUUACAGAGAAGUAAUUACAUUACUAUGGAAGAUUAAAUUAUUGUCAGUAAAUACUCUCCACUAUCACUGCUCCAUUGACUUGCUUUGGACUAUAAAAUGUGGAUGAAAUAAAAAUAUUCCACUUUUUGUGCCCAGAAGUUAAGAAGCAUUAUGUGUUUCUGCUUUUUCUUCUGGGAGCUUCUGAUCUCUGCUGUGAGAAGGAACAUGCCCCAGGUAGCUGCAGCCCGUGGUGCCUGGGCCUCUGAUGAGAUCAUGGAGCAGAAAUGAACUCAGUCCUAAACUGGAGUCGAGCUCACUACCCUGAAACCUUCAGAAGAGCGAUCCAUCUGAGCCCAAUCCAGAUAGACUGAGCUACAGUCAACCAUGCUGACCAUGAGCGUGAGAACAAUUGCUUACUACUCACAGCCACUAAGAUUUGCUGUAGUUUGUUAUAUAACGGUAUUUUGACAAUAGCUAACCAGUAUAGUUACUCAUAUAGAAUAAAAUACAGUGACAACUUUACAUUUGUAGUAGCUGUUAAUAUGUACAUGGCAUAAAAAUCUGGUGUCUUCUAGCUGGAAUUUGAUAAUAGAAUAAGUAGGAAUUACAAGUGUGGAUUUGGGGACGAGAGUAAGCCAAGUUUCUACACUGUCAGCUGUUAACUAUCUCACUCUGGGCAACAAACUUAUUUUCUCUGAACUUGUGUUUUCUCAUCCAUGCAAUGGGAGUUAAAUAAGAUAAUGCAGAUAAAGCACUUAACACAAUGUCUGCUACACAGUAAGUAGAGCAUGUAUAGAAGCCCUUACCACGAGUGUUACUGCUGCACUAUCAAAUCAGCAUACAGUGGAUCAGCACGUGGUUCUGUAAAGCCAGAUGAUCAGCUGCAUUGACCCUCUCCCUGAGAUUUAUUAGCUCAAGCUCCCUAUCCUUACUCCUUUCUAAAGUCUCGCACUUUUCCCGAGACUUAUACGAAUUCUUGUGCAAUUUAUUUUUGUGGCCAUUUCUGCUCUGAAUUCCUGCUUCCACUGGGCUCUGAGUCUCACUUAUGUUUUAUAAUAAAACUGAUUUUCUUCUUUCUCUGCUCCAUGCUAAGUCAGCCAUGAAACUUCCCUCCUUUCCUCUGAAUUCCGUGACAAAAGCACUGAGAAAUGUCUGUGUGUAGCAGAAUUUGUGGAAGGUUUGGAUCAGAGAGAGGUAGUUUACCUCAAAGAAAAUGAGCGAUUUAUAUUCCAUUUUUGCCAUAACUCUAUUCUUUAAAGCCUUCUGGCUUUCCUACUGUAUGAACUUUCCACUGGCAACUUGUCACCUUAAGAGUCCAGUUUCCUGCUAUGUCGUCCAUCCCUUUGCUCUCAUCUCCCUCUUUCCUCCGCUCUCAGCUUUCCCCCAAUUGCUGUUAUUUUCUCAUAAAGAACUGUUUCUCUGUCUCUUUAUUCUGAUCAUCCCAUGUAUUUACCAGUAGUCAUGCAACGUAUCUCCAUGUAACAUUUUCCCUAGUGUUAAAAUAAUGCAUUUAUAAAUGGCGGUGUCUAUCCCUCACCAUUUAUGCAAUGUCAUGUUAAAAAGAUGGCAUGACUUCUAAGCAAAGCAAGAUCUAAUUGAAUGUAUUGAUUUAUCUAAAGAAAUGAUAAUGACUAUCAGGGGAGGCACAUUUGCCACCAAAGUAUAAAAAAUGACGAACUUCAGAGGAAAACAUUGUGUGUCUGUCUAAACAUUGGAAGAUAGUCCAAAUGCUACCUAGGGAAAAGAAAAAUCUAUCCCAGAGCUUUAAAUAUGUUUAUGUAUUCACCCAUCCAUUUAUUUAUUCAUAAUUUCCCUCAAAUGAUGAAAUUGCCACUCUUUAUGGGCCACAAUUGGUUGACUUUUAUAUGAUUUGGAAUCUCAAAGUGUAGUUACUUCUGACUUGGAGAUAGAUUUUCAGACUCAAUAAUAUGUCAUCCAAAGUCUAUGCUUCUUUAACAAGAAUUUUUCUGCAAGAAUUAUGACAUUUGAGGAAGGUGAGAGAGGAAAGAAACUAUAUAAUAAAACAAAUCCUAGUAUUUUCUUGAGGAAUUCUAUAUAAAAUAAUGCCGUUCCUGAAGAGCAUUUUUAUCUUUGAUUUUUCCAUUGUAGCCCUAAUCUGUCAUAUAUGAUAUCAGUAACUUUCAUAAUUGCCUACAUUUGGCAAAUGUUACAAGUUUUUCAGUGAUAAUAACUCAGUGUGUGUUUCACUGUCACUGUCCUUUGUGUCAGUAAUCAUUCAUCUCAAGAAUUUGAAAUUCAGGCUGUGUGCAAGGACACCAGAAUCUGCCCUGUGCCCUUGAGCUUACGCACAAUUCUCAACUAUGUUUAGAAGAACACAAGUCCACAUGUGUAUGUGUUUAUUCAGUCAUCGCGUGUUUGGUGAACACUUUGUGCCAAGCACUCUGCCAGGCACUGGAGAUAUAAAGAUGAGUAACACCAUCUUGUCUCAUAGUGCCUGGAAGUCUAGACUAAGGAAGGAGGCAGACCUGUACACAAUCAAAUGUUUGGUAAGUGCUCUAAGAGGGCACAAAGGAGAAUCAGCCUGCUCUGACUUUAUUGGGAGAGUAUAGGAAGAAGAGGUUAUGGCCAAGGGAAACCCCAGAGAGGAGAUGGAUGAAGUUUGAGCUGAACUUCUGGGAUGAUUGAGGAUUUGCCAGGUGGCUGAGAUGCACUUUAGGGAAAUGGGCGAGUGUGGCAUCUUCAGUGUCUUGUGGCUGGAGCAAAGGGAGGGGAAAAAGAUGCAGUGAGAGCCUGAGAAGACAGUGUAGGCUCCCCACUGAUUAUGUGAAUGAACAACUAUAGAAUGAUCUUAAGAGAAGAAAGGGAGUGACCUGAUUCAGUUUGUGCUUUUGAAAGGGCAAUCCGAAGGCCAUCUAAGGGCACAACCACAUGCACCCAGACGUCUCCCACUUCUUUGCAGGUUGUGUAACUCUCUGAUGCUGUUCCCAGCCUGUCUGGAAAACUGUCAAACUCUGCUUCAGACCAAGCAGUAUCCACUGAUUAAACCUUGCCAACAGUCUUUGCAAGUUGAGAGACUCCUGAUGGUAGAGUGACACAACCGGCCCACAGCAGAAAGACCCCUUUUUAGUGCCCAGGCCUUGGGCUUUGAUACAAGCAGGGGUGGUUUCAUCAUUUCCUUUAAGAGUGAUCUCAGGGUUUUUUAACCUUUUGUGGAAUUGGCUUUCUUCCUUGAACAUUCCCAGCCCUGCUUUGACAUUCCCAUAUCCUGCAGAAUGCUGCUUAUAUACACCUUUAGGGGAAUUGCUGUUGCUGUCCUCUUUAAUUCACUUCUGACACCUCUUUCUGGAGGCCAUAGGUACGACUGUGCUGUUGGAAGCAAUAUCCACAUUUCUUUCCUAAAGCUUCAAUACUUUAUGCAAAGGUACCCAUUCUGGAUCCAGAACUUGUACAGGAAGGAGGGAGUAGAGUUCAAUACACUGGUGCCAUUCAAUGGAUGUUAAAUAACAUAAAGCAUCAUGAAAGACGGGCUUCCAAUCCUGAAAGGAGACAUUGUGAACUAACCUUUUCUUCCCUCGGAUUUUGAUCCCAGAACAAUUAAAAGGUAUAGAGUAUCCUUUUCCUCAAAACAAAGUGGCAGAAAUCACACUUUUUAAAAAAUCAAAUUACAUUUUGUUUUCAAGUUUCAACAGAAAACUUGAGACUGUAUUUUCCACUGUCUUUCUAGUAGACACACACAUUGUUGGCCACUAUUUCUCCACAGAUUUCAGUGGGCAAGUGCAUGAGGAGGCACUUUUUCCACCCUACUGAUGAUUUUUGCAGUGACCGAACUUUAUGAAAAUAUUUUACAAAAUCUCCAUGAGUCAAUCUUCCAGUGCACUUGAAAAUAAUUAGGCUUGCUAUCACUUGCCUUCCUCUCCUUAUCAGAGAAGCAUUUGCAACCAGGCAUUCUGUGAAUGUGGCUAAAUCGUAUCAUAGAAUCACUGAGAAUAUCUUCAAUAUUAAAGUAAUCACCAUUGUCCCUGGAGCCCUGACACGGGUGCCAGCAUCCCCACUCAGGAUCCUCUAUCAGUCCUGCCUAGUAGCACAACCCGGCAGCCUCUCUUGAUGAAGCAAUGUGAGGUUUAGUCCUUAUUUUAUUCCAUUUAAUUAAAGAACAGCUGAAAAAAUCCUGUCUUGCAUUUUCAACACAUGGUUCCAAUUAGUGCAGCAGAGCAGGACCCUGAAUUUGAUAAAAGCACUGACGUGUACCUUUGGUGCCUGUACAAUGUACUCUUUCAUUUUACAAGGUGGCUGAAGUGCAGUUUUAAAUAUCUUUUUUAAAUGUUGACAAAAACCCAGGGGUGUAAGCUUAGGAAAAAAGUGAGGAGAAGUGAACACAAUUUUGUUUGAAUUGCCUGCCAUAGACUUUUAGAACCUUGUAUGCAGAAGACGCUUAUGUGGGAAAAUCUGCAGUGGGCAUUUACAAGCUUGUAUGCAAAAAGCAUUAUGGUUCAUGAGACUUGCGCUCGGAGGCUAUUAGAUGGGAGAUCCAUCACCUCAGGAAAUACCACUUACUGUACUGUAAAUUUGCUCCAUGUGACCAAUCUGCUCGAGAGGUAAUGGAAAUCCCAUUCCAGUAAAUUUGUUUCAGACCAGGCUAAAACUGAUAGGACAUUUGCCUUCAGUGGGACUCUUUCUGGAUAACUUCUGGAAGUUCAUAUGUUUUUAAAUAGGAAAGUAAAACUUAGGUCCCAGAAUCUGGAAAUUAGAUGUGGAAAAGCCUAAUUUAGGUCAUCACAUCCCACCUCCUGCCAAAAUAAAGGGAACUAGCAAGAGGAAAAAGUAAGAUAAAACAAGUAAAAUAUUUUAUGACUGCUUCACAUGGUGUGUGUUCUGUGCCGUCCCAAAAACAGUGGAAUGAUUUUCCAUUUCAGGUCAUGGGAAAGCAUGAUGUCUUUAGUCCCAGAAGGGUGAGAUACUUAAACUGCUAUAAGGCCCUUCAUGAAGGUUAACAACAAACCUCUUUGUGCCUGGCUUUUAUUUUCAGAGCUACCAUUCCAUUCUUGGCCCAUAAUUCACAAACUAGAGAAAUGUGCCCAUCAAGAACAAACUCACUACUAGUUGUGCUCAGAAAUGUUACCCCAAAGUGCCAAGGACAUGGCUGCCAAAAAGAAUUAAUCCCAUACCUACCCCAUUCAUGAUGACCUCGGAAACAGGAGAAGCAAACGUUUCUUACUGUUAACCAGAAGCAUUUCCCCCAAAUGACUGCAAAUAGCACAAAUGUCUGUUCCAUUGAUAGAUAAUUCCAGUGACACUUUUUUUUUUUCAGCCAAGUAGAGAUAGCGUCACAGCAGGAUAAAGUGGGCUGGAGUCACUAACUUUGACGUUCCAAUCCUGGAUCUCCCACUGCCUAACUCUCUUCUCUCAAGCCAGCCACUUAACCUCUCUUUUGAAGUCAGCUUCCUCACAAAUGAGACCAGCUCACGUGUACUUCUUGUCUAAGCACCAGAUAAGGCAGAUAAUGUACAGAGGCAGUAGCCACAGCUUAAUCCACAGUGUAAAAGUGCUUUCCGGAAGGGCUUCUCCCCCACCCCAGGAUUUCUUAAAUUACUAAACUUCAUAUGCUGUCCACCAGUGUCAAAGGCGACAGCCAAAUAAAAGGCCCGUCCUUGUACUAAAGACCAGGCCUUUCCCUGAUUAUGGACUUAUUUUAAUCAUGAACCUUGAUAUACUUGUAGAAAAAGUUGACUUGUUUUUCUUCAUAUCUCCCUGUUGGUGGGUAUCGUUUAAUGGGAAAUUUUUCAGUUUUUUUUUAUUUGCUUUUAGUUGUAUUUUGCGUGUAUGUAUUUUUAGUUUUUUAGUUUUCUGAUUUUCCAGAUAUCUACAGAAGACUCGAAAUAUCCACCUUACUUUCCAGAGAAAUAGUUUUUAUAAAACAGAGAUGCCAUUUGUUAUCCAUAAAACAUGCUCUUUUUUUGACAUCUCCUGUAAUAUAGAGAAGACAUAUUCGUGUAUUUACUUGGGCUGAGAAGAGAUAGCAAAAUUUAGUCUUGGAUAUGUAUAGAUAACACUGUUAUCUAUUGCCUCCACCAUUACCAAAGAACUGGGUUCAGUUAGAAUAGGUAUUUGCUGAACAGUAAGGAAUACUAAGAGAUAUCUUGUGUGGGCAAAUUAGUUUGUGUACUUGACCCAAGCAGUUAGCACAGAGCAAAAGGGACCCAGUUUCCUGGAACCCUGUAUCAUAUAUUGUUGACUCCUGCUAGUUAUUUCUUCUAUGCAGACUCUCAUGAACUAAAAAAGCAAAUUGACUUCCAAAAGUUAACCUAUGCAUGAAUAAAAGCACAACAUACACAGAAUGUUUUAGUCCUUCUGAAUUCUUUGAUGUUCCAUCUCUAAUAAGGAACUAACUAGAUUAAAUUUAAAUUCUUCAGAUAUGAAGUAAAACGUAUUCAAUAUAUUUUACAACUUUUGAGACUGUAGAGAUAAAUGAUUAUUUUGCAAAGUGGUUUUUGAACCUUACCUUGAUUCUGAGGGUUCAAAGGAACAAAUUAUGGUUGAGAAGACUGAUAAGAACCAAUAUGUGUUGAAGAUUGAAAAGCCUCAGGGACAUUUUUUGUGUCUGAUUUGACCAAAUCUGUUGACCAUUUUAGCUUUUCAUCCAUCUCAUUAGAAAUAGUUUUCAACAGGGGCACCUGGGUGGCUCAGUCAGUUAAGCAUCCAACUUCAGCUCAGGUCAUGAUCUUGGGGUUUGUGGGUUCGAGCCUCGCAUCAGGCUAUGUGCUGACAGCUCAGAGCCUGGAGCCUGCUUCACAUUUCGUGUCUCCUCCUCUCUCUGCCCCUCCCAUGCUCAUGCUCUGUCUCUCAAUAAGAAACAAACAUUAAAAAGAAAUUAAAAAAAAUAGUUUUCAACAAAGAUAACCAUUAUGCAAAUUACAAGUGGUGUGUUAUGUGCGUGAUUAGGUUUUCCAUUUUUCUUUCUUUGAAGCUUUAAAAAAAUAUAUUUUGGUGGUUAUUAUAAUGGAAGUCCACUUUCGUACUGGAUUUCCUUCAUUUCUCUUUAACCGUGAUUAAAGAGCUGAAUCUCCACCAAGGGGGAAGUAGCAUUGGUGCUAAUCCCAACUUGGCAGAAUUAUUGGGUUCCACCCCAACAGUCACCAAAACAUUUGGGUUUAGUCAGAAUACCAAUUCAUCACUUCAUAAAACCAAAGCUCUUCUCCAUCCCACAGUAACCUGUUCAUAGACCAUAGGGAGAGUGAGAGAGAUGUGAAUAGACUCACUGAAUAAUAGGGCCUGGCCCUCUCAGACGUCAAAAGAGAUCUGAGAACCUUCCAUUUCUUAAGGCUCCUGGAGUAUUAAAACAAGAAGAGGAGAAGAGGAAAAAUGCCAGAACAGCAUAGAAAUAAAGUGUAGCACAUUUUAAGUGCUUAAAAUCAUGCUUUAAACACAUGAAAUAUAAAAUAACCUUUCUGGAAGACAAGAUCAAAUGGCCAGAUUUGAGGCUGUUUGUGAUUAUAACAGCCCUAGCUAAAUGGUUUUACUAAAGACACCUAGCUCCCAAUCAUCAUAGCUCCUGCUCAGGGGCUGAAUGGAAGUUCCAGGAUCAUUUAGCCUCAUUUGAUAGAUAUAGAUUAAAAAAACUGAGGCCAAAGAGUGCAAAUUAUGUGCUUUAGAGUGCAGUCAAUUAGUUGGUGAAAAAGCAGAUCUCUGUAUACUCUCUGUGCAAAUGGAAGGCACAGAGGAGGUCUUGAGUGGGCGAAAUGACUACUAGCAGUUGAUAAGGUGAUGAAUAUCAAAAGCAAUAUUGCAGGGAAAGUAAUUGUUGGGCAAAGCCACCAUAAAAUGGACUGAGUCAUGGCCAGAUGUGGCCAGAUGUGGCUAAUCAAGACUCCUGAUUGACAUUUCUGCAUGAUUUCGGUGAGGGCUGCAUUUAUGACACUACUUCAUAAGGCGAAAUUGGAGAUUCCUUAUUUCCAAUACCCUUAUUCUGUGGUUAGUUCUCUAGUUGGAAAUCUGUGUGAGAUCCUCACGGAGACGGGUGUUAACUUUUCCCAUUGAAUUUCUAAGCUAGGAAGCUGGGACUCUUAGGAGUCGAUUUUGACUCAGUCUUUUGUGAGACACUCUCAUCUUUGAGUCAUGCUUUAAUAAUUUGGAUCUCAGCAAUGACUUUAUUUAUCUUGGGGAAUUUUACUUUUCUGGACAACCAGAAUAAUUCCUCUCUUAGCUAUCAGAAGCAGACACUGGAAAAGCUGCUUUCUGUGUCGUUUUCAUACUGUUAGGAUUCUGGGCUCCUUAGUAACUUGGCCAACUGUCUUGAAUCAAAUGUUAGGCGAGUGCUAUUGGCUCUAUCUCCUCAUAGAUCAUUUCCAGCUGUUAGAACAACACAAAUAUGAAAUCUUCUGAUCCAGGAAAACUUGAAGUUUUCAUGAGAUCCCCAUACAAAGAUUAGAUGCAAUGAUUAAAAAGAAGUAUCAAUCCCCUGUGUUUGGAGGGUGAUGGGGUAUGGAUAACAUCACACUGUUAGUGGAAAUAUAAUUUGUUAGAAUCAUUCCAGUAGGCAAUUUGACAAUAUGUAUCAAAAGCCUCAAAAUGUAUAUAUUCUCCAAUUCAAGAUGGCAGACUGACCACAUGCAUUGGCCUCUCAUUACUUCCAAAACCAUAUUUACUGAAUUAAAAGUAUAGAAAUGUAGAAUAAAAUCUCCCUUAUACAUGUAUCUCUCAAGUUCAGUAAGGAAAAUGGAACCAAUUGGUUCAAUAGAGAGAGCUCAAUAUAGGCACCUAUUUAUGAAAGUGUAGGAACAUCUAAAAAGCCAGAUGGAUUUGCAACAUCAGGGGCUACUGCCUCCAGUGGACUGGAGGGACCAAAGAAAAAAAUUAGUAUUGCUAGAGCUCAAGGCCCUUCAUGGUGAGAGGUUGAACCAUGAGAACGGGGCUGCCUGGAGUCAGGAGGUGUUGGACAAAAAAGAAGAAACCACUUCUAGAGAUGCUAUGCUGCCAAGGGCAGAAAGAGAAGGGAGAAAUAUAUUGCCUUCUUCCUUCUUCUCUCUCCAAUAUCCUACCAGUGCUUCCCACUGGCUGAACCUCCAUGGAAGCCAGUUGGCAUGGAAAUGUCAUUUACAGGAGCUGGUCACUGCUCUGUGAUCAAGAACAGAGCAGGGAAAUGUUGAGUAAUGACUAAAAGUAAAAAAGCAACUGCCUGGAACAACAGACAAGAGAGAAUGGGAAGUGUGUAUGUCACUAAAGAUUGAGCUAUUUAAUAAAUUACUGGGAUACAAAAAGUAGAUGAGAGCCAUUAGAUAGAAGAAAAGGACAGAGCAAUUGCCAGCCUAGAAUACACUUUGACAGCUCUGUAAAGGAAGAAAGCUAAUCUGCCCUGUGGAACCCCUGACAUGCCUUGAGUAUAGAGUCAGCAGACACAACAGAGGGGAGAGUGAAAGAUGGAGCUAAACAGAGAGAGAUUCCUCAAAGGUCUGAGUGUAUCCAGAAUUCUUCAGUCAGCACCCUAUCUCCAACAUAUAUAAACACAGUAAGCAGGCAGUUGGCAUUAUACUCCCAGUCAAAAUAUAUGGUGACUCCUUUCUAAAGUAAUUGGGCAAACUGGGAAAAGAUAACAUUUCUACAUUUGCUGAUGCCUCAGAGGGAAGCCAUUAUCAUCUUGGCACUGUGCAGGCACUCAGCCUGGGAGCCAGUUACCACUCCCAUUGAUCCUCAAAGUUUACUGGCCCACACUGCCUGGCGCAACCCAGGAAGCAAUUUCAGAAGAAGGGGAGAGGCCUGCUAGGAGAACAGUCUUCUGCCACUACAAAAGCAGAAUAUCUAUUCCAUCUACCCAGGCCUGCUUUCUUAAUAACAGAGAGAAGCCACUAGAAUAUGAGGAGAACUAGCAGUAUAAAAAGAAAAGUAUAAAAUUCUAAAAAACCAACAAACAAAAAACAAUCUUGGAGGAAGUUGAAAUGAUUCAGGGAACAAAAAAAUCAUCCUUAGAAAUAUUUGCAAAAAGGUUCAAGAAAAUACUACCUCUAUAAAACAAAUAGGAGAAUGAGAGAAUGAGAAAGCACUCUUAGAGAUUUAAAAUAUAAUUGCCAAAAUAAAAAAAUUAGUAGAAAUACUAAAAAACAACAAAAUCAAAGGAAUCUCUCCAAACAUUAAUCAAAGAGCAAAAGAUGGAAAAUAUGAGAAUGAACUCAGAGGACCUAUAUUCAACUAAUAAAAACCUCAGAAAGAGAGAAAGAGGCAAAGUGUUUAAAUUAUUCAACCAGAUAGUAAAAAGAUACGUGCCAGAGCUAAAGAAGGAUAAGACUCUUUGGUUUACAAUGGCUCACCUAGUGUCCAACCCAAUGAAUGGAAACAGACCCCCCACCUGGACACAUUGUAUGGGAAGUAUCAGAACAACAUAAUUAAAAAGAAAACCUUACAAGCCUCUAGGAAGAAAAAAAGCCACAAUUCACAAAGGAGAGAGACUCAGACUGAUACAUUUAAAGUUCUGAGGUAAAACUUUUUACCCAGAAUUUUCUGUAUUUGAAAUAUAUAUAUUUGAAACUGCAUUUCAAAAAUACAAGGACUUAGUACAUUUAUCACCUAUGUGUCAUCUCUCAUGAAGCUACUUGAGUGUCCUCAGCAUAGAAGAUCAGUAACCAAGGAAGGCAGGAACAGUAGUUCUGACCCAGGAAAGGGAUAAAGGGAUGUUCCAGGUUGCCACAGGCCUCAGAGCCACCGGUCCUGAGAAGAAUGAGACAGUACACCCCAGGGGGAGACUUCAGGGACAGUCUGUGCCUUACGGAAUAACUAAUAUGGCUUAGAAUGUGGAAAAAAUAAAGGGCAAAUAGCAAAAGGGAUGGGAGUAGGAAGUAAUAAAAAUUCCAGAGGAAAGGUUAUACUACACACUCUUGAUCAAAAUGUGACAAAAACUAAUGCCUUGAUUUUAAGGAAUCCAUAGACCUUCAUUCUAGAAACAAAAUUCUUUGGGUGGCUUAGAUUUCUGUACAAGGGCCCAUGGAAAAAGCACUGGAAGCCUAGUGCAUCAAUUGGCAUGGUGUGUAUCUGUUUUUGUAUUAAAGAAUUAACACUGGCAAAUCAGUUGGUUGGAUUUCUAUUAAGAGACAACCUAAUGACAUAACAUGAAAGGUUUGUUUGUAUCUGCUGUUCUCAGCAGAGAACAGAAAUAUUGGCUACUUGGACUACAUGUCAAAGCAAAACUAACAAAAGAUGGCACAACAACUUUCUGGGGGGAAAUACGGAAAAAAAAUGGAAGACUUUCUCAAGUUUUAAGGGGUGGUCAAGACCAAGAAACACGGUCAAAAUUGGAAAAAAAUGAGAAUUUAGUUUUAUAACCUAAAAGGAACCAAUAGUAAAACUAAAAGUAAUAUAAUAAAUAUUCAGGUGGAAGGAGAUAAUGAAAAUGAGCAAAUCCCUGUCUUCAUCUUGAGGAGUCACUACAUAUUGUCUAAAGUAGUUAGAUAGAAGAGUACAUGUAUUAAUCUAGAUCCUUCAUACACAAAAAUGAGGUAUUAAUGUCACCUGUUGGAAAAACCCCAUCUCAGCCCUCCCCCUCCCCCCACCCUGCCAACUGCAGAACUCCUGAAAUGGGAUCUGCAUUUUAACAAGAUCCAUCAGUGUUUCAUCUGCACGUUAAAUUUGAAUAGCACUCCUUUAAAACAGUACUUCUUAAUUUUGGCCAUGCAUUAUUAGAAUUGCCUGCAAAACUUUUAAAAAUACAUCAUUUAGAAAGGGGCAAAGCCCAGGACCCCACUUAAAGAGAUGAUGCUUUAAAAGGGAUAGUGUACAGAAAUCAGUAUUUCUUCUUAACAGCUUCUGAGAUAGUUCCAAUGUGUAGUCAUGGUUGAGAACCAGUGAUCUAGAAGAACUAUGGUAAGUGACAAAGAGAAUGAAGACAAAAAUAUUUUAAUUUUGUUUCUGGAUCUGUCAGGGCAUUGGGCUGAGGAUGAGGAAGCAUGGAAAAGACUUGUUUUAAAUGAAUAAACAAACAAACAAAAAGCAGAAUCAGACCUAUAAAUACAGAGAACAAACUGAUGGCUGCCAGAGGGAAGGAACGUGAGGGGUUGGGCAAAAUGGGUGAAGGGGAGAGGGAGACACAGGCUUCCAGUUUUGAGAUGGGUAAGUCGAGGAGUACAAGCACAGCAUGUACAUUGUACAUACAGUCAAUGAUAUUGUAAUAGUGAUGUAAUGGGACAGAUGGUAGCUACACAUAUUGUGAGCAGAGCAUAAUAUAUAAACUUCUCUGAAUCACUACGUUGUACACUGGAAACUAACAACACUGUGUGUCAACUAUACUCAAAAAGAAAAGAAAAAACAUUUUUUAAUAAGAAAUGUUACAAUAUUUGAUCUGUAUCUUGCACAUGUGUUACUUGAAAUAUAGGUUUCUUUUUAAGCAUACAGCCUUCCGCUCAGAAAUUCUACUUAUAGGAAUGUUUUUAAGAAAAUAAUUGAUAUAUUACACAAAUAUUUAUGUUCAUAAUUUUAAGAAUUGUAAACAAUGUAAGUGUUCACUUAAAAAAGUGAUACCUGCACAACCAUGUUUUUCACAACAUUAUUCACAAUAGCCAAGACAGAAAAGCAACCCAAAUGUCCAUUGGUGAAUGAACAGAUAAACAUAAUGUGAUGUAUGCAGACAAUUAUAUUUUUUUCAGCCUUAAAAGGGAAAGAAACUGUCCCAUGCUAUGACAUGGAUGAAUCUUGGAGAUAUCAUGCUAAGUAAAAUGAGCCAUUCACAAAGAGACAAAGAUUGCACGAUUCACUUGUAUAAGGUAUCUAAAAUAUUUAAACUCAUAGAGCAGAAUGGCAGUUACCAGGGGCUGAGGGAGAGCUGUUGUUUAAUGAAUUUAGAGUUUCAGUUCUAUAAAGUGAAAAAGUGCUAGAGAUUGGUUUGAGAACAAUGUGAAUAAAGUCAACACUGCUGAACUGUAUACUUAAGAUGGUAAAUUUUAUGUGUUUUUUACCCCAAUAAUUUUUAAAAAGUAUGUAUUUUGGUAAACAACUCUGUGUAUGUUUGAAUGUAUAGUAAAAAUUGUAGAUUAUGCAACAAAGUGGUUGUAUGGCUUGCAAAGCUACAAUUGAGACUGCUUCUCUUCACUUUCUAGAUUCUUUGCUAUUUUAAGAGUAAGCACAAAGUAUUGUUAUAAUUAAGGGGAAAAAGAAGAAGCUGUUUCCACUUUGAACAAUAUAAAACCAAACUUUCGUUGGAGUUUACAAUGACUGAAUGACUCAUAUACUGCGCUCCCUUAUUUGCCAAAGAAGCAAUUACAUUCUCCUGAGGAAUUCAAGGCUUCACAUCCCUUUUGGAAAUGGUUGUGUAGUGUCUGGAUCUUCUGGGACUUCUGAAUAUUCUCUCUAGUCUUGGGGAAAAGAAGCAAAAACUAAGUAGCCCUUUUACACAUGAAGCAGAAAAACUGGUUAACGUCAUAGAACAGAUUUUGUCUCAUGAAUUCCUUUAGCUUCAAGGAAUAGUAAAGCAGAGGGGACAUUGGGAAAAAGGAGAGGAGGAAGGGGCAUGGAGGAGUUAAUUGCUCUGGACAGAACUGCCCAGCCCAAGUGUAUGUUGACAUUUUAGCUCUGUGUUACCACUGUUUUCUCUUGACCCUCUCUGGGUAUCCUGAGUCACAGUGACAAAAAUGUGGGUCAUUACAUCACAACUGUUUUACGAUUAUUUGUGUUUGCACGUUUGACACUUGUGGUCCAUUGCUAAUGCUAUAUUGUGCUGAGACGGCGUCAUUAACCAUUUUUCUUUUAAUUUCAAAGCCUGGCCUAAUGAAAUAUCUAUAAAAGUGAAAAAAAAGAGUUAAACCAGAAGAUCUUUAAGAUUAUUAAAACCAAAUGUUUAAAAAAGGAGUUUCACUGUUAAUGUCAAAAUAUCUCUGUGGCUCUGUAAAGCUUUUAGAUUCUACCAGAUACUUAAGUCCAUCAAUAAGCUAAUGUACAUUGCGAUCAGCAAAUCCAUGGAUCAUGCUUGUGCGGGAAUUCUUUUGUGUUAUCUAACUCUUCUAAUAAGAAUGGCUCCAUACAUCCAUGUUGAGUGCUUUUUAACCUCACAAAAGUUAGAUAGCAUGGCAAUAAUCCUGGCAAUCAAGGGUCUAAAAAACACAAAAGUUAUUAAAGGUAUCACAGAAUGAACAGACCAGUUCUUCAUUCUGUUCAGCAGAGCACCAAAGAAUUUAACAAAUCUUAUCUUUAAUCUAAUGUUGGAAUUGUGAUCGUGGACUAUUUCUCUUCUUGUUAUUAGGCCUGAGUGGAGAACUUUGGUUUGUCAUCAUUUUUUUUAUGGAAUAAUCCUGAAAUACCACAUUCCUGGUCCCUCUUUUCCUUUCUGUAAUCAGUCAUUCCUCAAUUUAGAAUACAUCUUCUACCCUUUGAAGAGAAUGAAAAUAUUCGGUGAAGAUAAAAUAGUUUAAUAAUUUAGUCAUGUUUUUUACACUAUAAGUGACCCAAGUUUUUACCUACUCACAUAAUCUUUUAUGGCACUGGUUGUUAAUAUUUUACAGUCAGGCAAAAGGACAAUUUACAAAAGUUAAUGAGAGAAAGAGAGGGAAAGAAAGGAGGGAAAGAAGAAGGAAGAAAGAAGAAAUGAAGGCAAACAAUCAUAGAGCUAACUUUUCAGAUAAGUUCAAUAUAGGCAAUGGUUCAGACAAUUCAAUUGAGUGUCUACCCCAAACCCAAUUGGAAUGAAUGUUCAGAUCUAUAAAAUAAAAAUACAAUACAGAUAAAAAUAGCCUCAAGUUGUUUUAUAUAAUCUGUAAGGAUGUUUUUCCUAAACCAUAGAGGUAAUAUGUUGCUACAGUUUUUCAAACUGGUAUUGUAAUUUUUAAAUAAUUCCACGCAAAGGAAAACUAAACCCAUUUUCUCAUUGCCUCCAGUAUAAUUUGGGUAGCAAGCCACACCACAUUUUUGAGUGGAUUUGUGCUGAGUUAGGAAACAUUCUCAAUAUCUGGGUCUUUAAAAAUUAUGCUAAGCUUGCAAGUCCAUAGCAGAUCAAAAAUAAGAACUGUCUUAGGACGUUUGUUGGUUUUUCUAUAGUUUAUAUGUAGCCAGCUGGUUUCUGACCUCUUUGUGUAAAUAUCCAGCUUUUCACAUAAUCAGAUUCCAUAUUACCUUGUUAUGACAUCAUUCUGGUCAGACUUUGAUCCCUUACUAACUUUUCCAAACCAUACACAUAGACUUAAAUAACGAUAAGAAGAUUGCUACUUAUCCACAAAAUACCACUGCUUGGUGGUGGUUAAAAAGACAAAAAAAGUAUACACCUAUAUGCAUACAUGUAAAUACACAUCUUUAUACAUUUUUAUAUGUGUAGAGAUAUAUAUGCAUAAUAAUGAAUAGACCUACAGAAGGGUUAGAAAUACACCAAAAAGAAAAGUAUAUUUUAUAUGAUACUAAAUUAUUGAAUUUUCAAAUUGUGUAUUGCUAGUGACAUACACAUUUAAGUUUCCUCUUUCUGCAGUUGUUACCAGUUGAUACUUUUGUUCAACUUGUAUUUUAAAAGCAGGUGAAUUGAAAUGUAGAAUUUGAGACCUUGUUAUGUAUUAUUUUUUUCCACAGAUAGAUGAAAAUAAAGGUUAAGCUGUAUUCUUUGCUGAUCCGGAAGCCUGGGUAUAAAAGACGCAAUGAUCUUGUAAAUUACCCAGAAAUGGCUUCUUUAGUGUCUGAUCAAGAUAAAUGACACAAGGCAGCUGUAAAAAGAAUUCCCACUAGCCACUGACCCAUAAACAGUGGUGUCAUUUUUCUUUUUUAGAAAAGUAUCAAAAUCAAUUUAAAAUAACACCAAAUCUUUAGAGUUAUAAUUAAGUGUCCUAAAUUAUGCUUCAUAGGAUAUUAUUUUAACUACUAUUAUUUUUUUAAGUUAAAAUACAUUAAAACACUGAUUGCUAGAGAACUUUGAUGUCUGUGAAAUAUGAAUCAUUUUUCUGUGGGCCCACUGUAUUCCCAUUACCUAGAACAGUGCCUGGUACAUAGUAAGUGGUCAGUAAAUAUGGUUGAAUGAAUGAAUUAAAGAAAUAACAAUAUAUUAAGAUAAUAACAAUAAUAUAUUAACUCAUGUGGAAAUUUGGAUAAUAAAAGUGAUGUCACUCACACACAAAAGACAAAGGUACAGAACUAAUAGAUACAUUGGUAAUGAAUAUUUAUUGACCAUUUUUUUAUGUGUUAGGCUUUCUACUAAGUGCUUUGCAUGCAUUUUCUUAUAUAAUGAUCUAAAUAGUCUUAUAGAAAAUAGUGAUUAGGCUAUCUCACAUGAGAAACUAUGGCCCAGAAAACAGUAAUGCCUUCAAGGUUACAGCUAAUAAAUGAUGGUGCCUAAGUUAAAAUUCACAUCAUCCUGGCCCAGAGUAUACAUAUUUUAACAACUGUGUACCUGUCUCUCAAUGUACUGUGUUUUCAUGCUGACUUUAUGGUCCCUAUGAUCAUUGAUAGACUGUAGCUACAAAGAAAAGAAAAACUAUAAAGCUUCUGCACAGCCAAGGAAACAAUCAACAAAACUAAAAGGCAACCAAUGGAAUGAGAAAAGAUAUUUGCAAAUGACAUAUCGGACAAAGGGCUAGUAUCCAAAAUCUAUAAAGAGCUCACCAAACUCCACACCCGAAAAACAAAUAACCCAGUGAAGAAAUGGGCAAAAAACAUGAAUAGACACUUCUCUAAAGAAGACAUCCGGAUGGCCAACAGGCACAUGAAAAGAUGUUCAACGUCGCUCCUUAUCAGGGAAAUACAAAUCAAAACCACACUCAGAUAUCACCUCACGCCAGUCAGAGUGGCCAAAAUGAACAAAUCGGGAGACUAUAGAUGCUGGAGAGGAUGUGGAGAAACGGGAACCCUCUCGCACUGUUGGUGGGAAUGCCAAUUGGUGCAGCCACUCUGGAAAAUAGUGUGGAGGUUCCUCAAGAAAUUAAAAAUAGACCUACCCUAUGACCCAGCAGAAGCGCUGCUAGGAACUUACCCAAGGGAUACAGGAGUACUGAUGCAUAGGGGCACUUGUACUCCAAUGUUUAUAGCAGCACUCUCAACAAUAACUAAAUUAUGGAAAGAGCCUAAAUGUCCAUCAACUGAUGAAUGGAUAAAGAAAUUGUGGUUUAGGGGCGCCUGGGUGGCGCAGUCGGUUAAGCGUCCGACUUCAGCCAGGUCACGAUCUCGCGGUCCGUGAGUUCGAGCCCCGCGUCGGGCUCUGGGCUGAUGGCUCGGAGCCUGGAGCCUGUUUCCGAUUCUGUGUCUCCCUCUCUCUCUCUGCCCCUCCCCCGUUCAUGCUCUGUCUCUCUCUGUCCCAAAAAUAAAUAAAAAAAAAAAAAAAAGAAAUUGUGGUUUAUAUACACAAUGGAGUACUACAUGGCAAUGAGAAAGAACGAAAUAUGGCCCUUUGUAGCAACGUGGAUGGAACUGGAGAGUGUUAUGCUAAGUGAUACAAGCCAUACAGAGAAAGACAGAUACCAUAUGUUUUCACUCUUAUGUGGAUCCUGAGAAACUUAACAGAAACCCAUGGGGGAGAGGAAGGAAAAAAAAAAAAAAAAAAAAAGAGGU